GGAUAUUAUAGUUAUUGCUAAUAUUAUAUUAUAAACAUUUUAAUAAUUAUUUAUAUUUUCUAUAUGAUUUGAUUGCAUAAUAAUUAAUCUUUUUCAAAAAAGAUAAUUUAUUAUUAAUAGAUCUAAUAAAAACUUUAGUGCAAGCACAAAAUAACUUCAAAACAACUAUCAAUUAAAAAAGAAAAGCUAAAUAAAUGAUAUUUUACAGUGAACAGUUGUUAGGUACUUUAACAAAGAAUAACUACUAAUCACCUAAUUUCAUUAAAUAAAUUAAGUUAGCUUGUUCAGGAUUAAACAACUAGCAAUUGUACCUAACAGCUAAAUCAAACACUCUAUAUAUGCAUAUUUUCUUUUUAUCUUACUUUGAAUGUGUAAUUUUUCUUUUUCUGAAUUUAGUUUGGUUUUUGUUCUUCAUUCAAUAUUGAAAUGAAUAUGACAAAACUAAUAAUAUCACAUUAUUUUUGCAUAAAAAGUUCUAAUAUUAUCUCCUAAGAGAGGUGACAAUAUAUAAUUACCUACUAUAAAUAAAGGGGAAAAAAACUAGUGAGUUUAUAUAGGAAGCAAUACACAGUAAAAACCAUUUUUUUAAAACAAUAAUUUCAUUGCAUAAACAUGCUUAAGCCCAAAAGAAGAGAGCAAUAGUCAAUCACUUUCACUAUACUAUUUUGAUUCUCUCAAAUUAAAUGAGGUGCAUCUAUUAUAAGUUUUAAUUCAUAUAAGAAUGAGUCAAGUAAUAUUUAGAUCAAAUAUUUAUUAUAAGAUUUAUGCAGGGUCAACAUAUUAUUUCAAUUAUGUACAUACAUAUCUUAAUUGACCAUGCAUGAAUUUCAUCACAAAUAUUUAAAUUAAAAGCUAGUCAAUUUGAUCUUAUAUAAAUUUGAGCUUAUAAUAAAUUCAUCCAAUUAAAUUAAAUAUAAAUUUAUGAAAUAGAAAAAAGUCAACAAUUCCAGUACCAAUAAAAAAAAUAAUAAAAGGAAGAAAAAAAAAGAAGAUAAAGGGUUAGUCACCAAAGUAAUAUGAACAAAUCAGCAUUCUCUGCUAUUAGGUUAAUAGACAAUGAUGACAGCUAAGCAAUCCACAUCGACUACUCAAUUAAGCUUGUAUGAAAAAAUGAACCUAGUAUAAACACCAGGUUCCAAAAAAGUAAGGGCACGACCUUACUUCAACAGUUUCUGUUCUAUAGGUUCCUACCUCUGUGUCCUUGAGUUCAAAGAUGAUCAUGCAGUUGUCUAUAUGGAAAGAUGUUAAAACAUCACUUUGAUGGUCCCAUGACACUCAUCUACAUACUUUGAGGAGAUAAAAACUUGCUGGAUUUGGUGUGCCAAAAUAAUACUAGGAUUCCUUUCAAAGCAAUAUCAGUAGGAUUCAUAAGAGGAGGAAAUGCAAUAAAUUAGCAAUAUGUCAAGAAUGGAUGAAUAAAUCUCCUCCAGGUAAAUGAAAAACAAGAUUAAGGAAGAGAUGGUUUUGCAGUGCUAUUUUCCAAUCAAAACAGAGCUGCUGAAACAUGCAAUGAUUACCAGGUUCUUGGGCAAAGAUAAAAACAGGGUGGAUGACAAUUUAUCCAUCAUUAACCAACUAAAAGCCUCGAAUCCCAAAAAGGUUUCAUGGUUAUACUGUCUAGAAGAUGGCUUGUAAGGUUAUCAACUUGUUCAUUCAAACGAUACAUAAGAUUAACUAUCUUGUAUAAUGUUAGGUCAUGUUACAUAACUAAUUUCUUCUGUGAAAUAUUAGAGCAUGUUUUGCACUAUUGUUGUUAAUCGUAAUUUUUAGAUAAAAAGUUGGAAGAAAUUCUUUUGAUGAUUUACUUUUACAAUAUGAUUUUCAUAUGCCAAAGGCUAAUCUUGGGGGGCAAAAAAAAACAUAGUUGAAGUUUUUUCAAAUAACUAACAAGUUGCAUUGAUAAAAUUUAGUAAAUAGCUAUUCAUUCUCUAACUCAAAUUCACAUCACUCACAUUUAGUACUUAUAGGCAAUAGCAACGCCAAACAAGCCUUAUUCCCUUUGCUUUAGUCAAAGUCAAUUAAUCUCUAUUCCCAUAAAAAGAUGUAAGAAAUGCCAAAUCCAAAUUAUAGGAACCAGGAAAGAGAAUUACCACUUUUACUCGUAGUUUCACUCUUGCUUUGAAGAACUUUCUCCAACAAUUUGCUUCAUCGGUCAUCAACUCUCUAUCCAAACAAGAUCAUCAACUUUCUACUGCUCCUUGCAUUCACAGUAAUAAAUGUAUGUAAUGAUCACUCACUUUAUGAAACAAUCAUUUUCAUUUCAUUGAUGCGCUAUAGGUUCAGGAAUUGCUAAUAACAAAUGCGUUUCAGUAUUGACCUUGCCUGAGCCUGUCCAAAACAUAAAUCACUCUAUAUGGAAACAAAGCAUGGAGUGACUACCUGAUUCUAUUUGUGUGUCAAAAGCAACUGGUUAAUUUGUAUAUAGAAAGCAACAGGUUGAUCUCAGCAUCAGAUCAUCGGUAGCUUUAAGACUUAACACCUAUGACAUCUGUAACUGAUUAUUACAAAUGUUGUUCAGUCCACAUCCACAAAUGAUGUGCAAUCAAUGUCUUGAAGAGUAAUUUUCCCAGUAUAUAAAUCAUUUAAGUGAUCAGAACAUAAAGGGAGGCAUAUUCGGUCCACGCAUUCGUGAAUGGCACCCAUCCCCUUCACAUUUGAAAGAUUUUGUAGUAACCUCACCCGGUAUACAAUAGUAUUUGUUCUAUCACAGAAAUGAACAACGCAGGAAUGUGAUGGCUCAUCGGAAGCCAGUCUGAUCAAUGCCAAUGAUAAAGCCCCAUCUACAGGUUUUGGAUCUGAGAGAUUUUUAUCUCCCAUUAUCUUUACCUCUCUCUCGGUGGGAAAGUGUACUUCUUCAUUUCCAUCCAUAUCAAUGACUUUCAAAUCUUUAGUGUAAUGUUUAAUAGCUUCAAGUUUUGUUGCUUCAUGCUUUUCUGCUAGUGUCAGAAUACAAGAGAACCUCAAGUGAUAACUUACAACUGUUUUUACCAUCUUAAAGUUGUGGCAGCAGCAAAAGAAAUCAAGCCAUCUUCUCCCAACCCCUGCAUACCACUUUAUAAUAUCAGCGUCUUCCAGAAUAGUAAGAAAGUGAAUUGAUCUAGGACGGCCCAUAUUAUUUGUAAACCCAGCCAUCUUAACAACCUUCCUUACCAGUUCUAUAGGCGCAGAGACUCUCAUGCAUAGCCUUGUCAGAUCCUCCACUGUUCUCUCAGCAUACUUUCUUUCCUCCUCUUCUUCAACUCUCCUUUCUUCUUCCUCCAAUGCCUUUCUAGCCUUAACUGGUGACAAAUGCUUCUCCACCUGCUCUUGGAACCUAUCAUAAGCAUCAACAAGCUCUUGUGGCAAUUGAUCUCUAAUAUGCCUCAAAGAAAGGAAAUCACCUGCAGUGAGCAUUCUAUGCCAAUUCCAACGCUCUUCCAAGGACCCCAUAAACUCUUGAACCACUUCAUCUGCCCAAGUUGCAAAGAUUUCUCGCACUUCAUUCUCAAUUUGGAAGUCAAUUUUGAACCCAUUACUCUGCUUUAACUUCUUAAAAACAUGACUUAAAAUUUUCAAACCCAAUUUCUUCCUAUUCCUUUCCCGUGCAUUUCUCAAUUCCAAAGCCCUAACUUCUUUCUGUCUAAGAUAUUUCUUCCUUGCUCUGAUUGCUUUUUCUGACAUAGGAGGAUGCAAGACUGAAGGUGGGACAGCCUGCAAUUCCAUCCCCAAAAAAUCAAUCUUCUCUGAAACUGCACUAUGGAUAGCUGUCUUUAUUCUAUCUACCUCCAACUCCAAAUUCUUUUCCAACAGUUUCAAAACCUUAUUCUUCACAUCCAUGGUCAUCAUCUUUGAGCCUGAAGUAAUUACUAAGAUCUCAUCCAAGUACCUAACUGCAUAUACCUUGACUGGCUUAUAAAAGGAGUUGGACCUUUCACUAAUCUCAUUUGUUUCAAAUUUGGGAUUCUGUUUGCCAAUUGCUAAACGCAUUUCUUGAAUUUCUCUAUCAAACCCAUUAAAAUAAAUAUUAAUCAAAAUUGAACACAACCUACAUUCUUGAGGAAAUCCCCUACCCAAAUAAAACCCACCCAGUUCAAUUUUCAAAACUCCACAUUCAAAUAACUUUUUUAUCACAUCAAUCAAAAUCCUAUCCUUAAUUUUCUCUUCCAUAAACAAGCAUAACUUAUCUACAUUCCUACUAUCAAACUUGACACUAUUAAAGCAAACACUAAACCACCAACUUGGGUUUUUCACCGAGUUCUUAAGGUACCUUAUAGCCGUGUGCCGCCCCAUAUUGACACGUCCACCAUAAGAAAAAGUAACAAAACGAUCAUCGUAUACAAUUUCUAACACAAGCCUAAUAGCUUCAAUAAAAAGUUUGAGCUUCAAAUUGGGCAAAACCAAGGACUCACCUUUACCUGCCAUUUUGACACAAUUAGACUCGAUAUCCAACCGGUUAUCAGAAAUCUCUCGACCCAUUUCUUCAAUCGAGAAAUGCCUAGAGACUGAGUGGUAAAGAGACUGAGGGAACCCAGUUGACUCCGGCGAGCUGGAGGCAUUAUAAUGGGAAGUAACAAGGUUUUCUGAGGCAGAGAGGAGAACAGAGGGCAAAGCGACGACAUUUUGUAUGAGAUUGAAGAAAUUGCCAUGGAAGAAUUGGCUGAGCACUAAGGCUUUGAGUUGUGGUGCAGAUAAGGGUAUUGCAGUGGGGCUUUGAGGUGGGGUUUUGAGAUUAUCGUGGUUAGGGUUUAAGGGUAGUGUUGAAUAUAAGGAAUUAAAGGAAGAUAAGAUUGGAAAUGAGAAUUUGAGAGGGAAUGCUGUCUUUGUUUUGAGGGUGAUGAGCAUUGAAACACAGAUAAAAACUGCCGAUGAGGAGAAGUGAAGAAGUUGGAGUUUGGCUUGGUGAAUUUUUU
rnacentral:misc_RNA from 1 species